rnacentral:rRNA from 1 species
GAAGGGGGCUAGCGUUGCUCGGAAUUACUGGGCGUAAAGGGAGCGUAGGCGGACUGUUAAGUUAGAGGUGAAAGCCCAGGGCUCAACCUUGGAAUUGCCUUUGAUACUGGCAGUCUUGAGUACGGAAGAGGUAUGUGGAACUCCGAGUGUAGAGGUGAAAUUCGUAGAUAUUCGGAAGAACACCAGUGGCGAAGGCGACAUACUGGUCCGUUACUGACGCUGAGGCACGAAAGCGUGGGGAGCAAACAGGAUUAGAUACCCUGGUAGUCCACGCCGUAAACGAUGAGUGCUAGUUGUCGGCAUGCAUGCAUGUCGGUGACGCAGCUAACGCAUUAAGCACUCCGCCUGGGGAGUACGGUCGCAAGAUUA